AAAGUGAUUGGUUAUACAUUUCAUGUAUCAACUGCAUAAACCCAUUCCGAGUAUCUUGCCUGUUGCUUCCAUGGGGCCUGACCUCGGUCACUCUUGUGAUGUGAAAUCCAAGAGAGUCCCCAUGGGAGGUAAUCAUUAAAUUCAUGUAUCCAAUGUCUUCUGUCUGAACUGUUUAUGACAAAUGUUA
rnacentral:misc_RNA from 1 species